rnacentral:lncRNA from 1 species
AGCCUGGACCUGGAGUGGGACCCCUCGGUGGACGUGGGCGGGUCCACGUCUCAUGACGAAGAGGAUUCAUCGUACUGCAGCGCCAUCACGGGCCGUUCCCUUUCGAGGGGAAACGCAGGUGCAGCUGGGCUCCCAGGACGGGCCUUGUCUCUCCCUGGCGACCAGAAGGAAGGUGGAAAUUGUCUGGGACAGUUCCGGUAAGUGACUUGUUUCCUGGCCCGUCACAGUCCAGUCCAGCUGACCACUGCCUAUCCAUUACCAAGAAAGCCCC